GUGUGUCACACCACUGUCUUCUCUGGGCAGGGGCAUAACGGUAAGGUGUGUGUGUGUGUGUCACACCACUGUCUUCUCUGGACGGGGCAGGGGCAUAAAGGUAAGGUGUGUGUGUGUGUGUGUCACACCACUGUCUUCUCUGGACGGGGCAGGGGCAUAACGGUAAGGUGUGUGUGUGUCACACCACUGUCUUCUCUGGACGGGGCAGGGGCAUAACGGUAAGGUGUGUGUGUGUGUCACACCACUGUCUUCUCUGGACGGGGCAGGGGCAUAAAGGUGUGUGUGUGUGUCACACCACUGUCUUCUCUGGACGGGGCAGGGGCAUAAAGGUAAGGUGUGUGUGUGUGUGUGUGUGUGUCACACCACUGUCUUCUCUGGACGGGGCAGGGGCAUAACGGUAAGGUGUGUGUGUGUCACACCACUGUCUUCUCUGGACGGGGCAGGGGCAUAACGGUAAGGUGUGUGUGUGUCACACCACUGUCUUCUCUGGACGGGGCAGGGGCAUAACGGUAAGGUGUGUGUGUGUGUGUGUGUCACACCACUGUCUUCUCUGGACGGGGCAGGGGCAUAAAGGUGUGUGUGUGUGUCACACCACUGUCUUCUCUGGACGGGGCAGGGGCAUAACGGUAAGGUGUGUGUGUGUGUGUGUCACACCACUGUCUUCUCUGGGCAGGGGCAUAACGGUAAGGUGUGUGUGUGUCACACCACUGUCUUCUCUGGACGGGGCAGGGGCAUAACGGUAAGGUGUGUGUGUGUGUGUGUGUGUCACACCACUGUCUUCUCUGGACGGGGCAGGGGCAUAAAGGUGUGUGUGUGUGUCACACCACUGUCUUCUCUGGACGGGGCAGGGGCAUAACGGUAAGGUGUGUGUGUGUCACACCACUCUCUUCUCUGGGCAGGGGCAUAACGGUAAGGUGUGUGUGUGUCACACCACUGUCUUCUCUGGACGGGGCAGGGGCAUAAAGGUAAGGUGUGUGUGUGUGUCACACCACUGUCUUCUCUGGACGGGGCAGGGGCAUAACGGUAAGGUGUGUGUGUGUCACAACACUGUCUUCUCUGGACGGGGCAGGGGCAUAACGGUAAGGUGUGUGUGUGUCACACCACUGUCUUCUCUGGACGGGGCAGGGGCAUAACGGUAAGGUGUGUGUGUGUGUUACACCACUGUCUUCUCUGGACGGGGCAGGGGCAUAACGGUAAGGUGUGUGUGUGUGUGUGUGUCACACCACUGUCUUCUCUGGACGGGGCAGGGGCAUAAAGGUGUGUGUGUGUGUCACACCACUGUCUUCUCUGGACGGGGCAGGGGCAUAACGGUAAGGUGUGCGUGUGUGUGUCACACCACUGUCUUCUCUGGACGGGGGGCUGACAGAAAGUAUUUGGGGCAAGAUGUGAGAAUUGAUCUACUGUUGUGUAUAUAAACUCUUCCUGACUCUCUCUCUCUCUCUCUCUCUCUCUCUCUCUCUCUGUG